rnacentral:rRNA from 1 species
CGGGCGGACGGGUGAGUAACGCGUGGGUGACCUGCCCCAUACCGGGGGAUAACAGCUGGAAACGGCUGCUAAUACCGCAUAAGCGCACAGAGCUGCAUGGCUCAGUGUGAAAAACUCCGGUGGUAUGGGAUGGGCCCGCGUCUGAUUAGGCAGUUGGCGGGUAACGGCCCACCAAACCGACGAUCAGUAGCCGGCCUGAGAGGGCGACCGGCCACAUUGGGACUGAGACACGGCCCAA